UAAUACGUACCGUCCAAACGUUAUUCGGAAUUACUGGGCUUAAAGGGUACGUAGGCGGCGCUGUCAGUCGGGUGUGAAAUCCCUCGGCUCAACCGAGGAACUGCGCCCGAUACUGCAGUGCUUGAGGGAGACAGAGGUAAGCGGAACUGAUGGUGGAGCGGUGAAAUGCGUUGAUAUCAUCAGGAACACCAGUGGCGAAAGCGGCUUACUGGGUCUCUUCUGACGCUGAGGUACGAAAGCUAGGGGAGCGAAGGGGAUUAGAUACCCCCGUAGUCCUAGCUGUAAACGUUGAGCACUUGAUCGUGGGGCCCCCCAUAGCCUCUCGGUCGUAGCGAAAGUGUUAAGUGCUCCGCCUGGGGAGUAUGGUCGCAAGGCUG
rnacentral:rRNA from 1 species